GCACUGCUGUUGAGUCCUAAACAGGACGAAACAGCUGUCCAGUGC
rnacentral:hammerhead_ribozyme from 1 species